rnacentral:lncRNA from 1 species
UUCAAUGCUCUUGAGUUGUUGUUUUCCUUGAGGAUAUCCAUUGCUCCCCAAGUCUCUUCUUUGCUUGUUGGAAUCUCAUAAUCUUCCAAUAUGAUUUUCCAGACUCCAUUGUUGAUUGACUUUAAGUAUAACUUCAUCUUGUUCUUCCAGAAGUCAUACUUUACUCCAUCGAACCUGGGAGGUUUGUUCGAUGCAAGACCAGUACUGUUUUCACCAUUUGAAGUCAUAGUUGUUGUUGUAAGAUGUUAGUCUGACUUUAACGGAACUUGGCUCUGAUACCACUUGUUGGAUCGUUAUCCGAGGCUAUAAGGGGGGGGUAAUAGCCUCUUUUCGAUUUAUACAGGUUGAUUGCGGAAUUACCUGUAAAUGCUAAAUAAACAAAUGGUUGAACAAGUAAUGAUAUAAGGAUAUUAUGAUUUUGAUUGAUAUAAUGAUGUAAGUA